rnacentral:rRNA from 1 species
UACGGGGGGAGCAAGCGUUGUUCGGAUUUACUGGGCGUAAAGGGCGCGUAGGCGGUCACUACAAGUCAGUUGUGAAAUCUCUGGGCUUAACUCAGAACGGUCAACUGAUACUGUCGGACUAGAGUGCAGAAGGGGCAACUGGAAUUCUCGGUGUAGCGGUGAAAUGCGUAGAUAUCGAGAGGAACACCUGCGGCGAAGGCGGGUUGCUGGGCUGACACUGACGCUGAGGCGCGAAAGCUAGGGGAGCGAACAGG